UACGUAGGAGACGAGCGUUGUCCGGAGUUACUGGGCGUAAAGGGUGCGUAGGCGGUCGGGUAAGUCUGAUGUGAAAUCUCACAGCUUAACUGUGAAACUGCAUUGGAUACUAUCCGGCUCGAGGAAUGGAGGGGAGACUGGAAUACUUGGUGUAGCAGUGAAAUGCGUAGAUAUCAAGUGGAACACCAGUGGCGAAGGCGAGUCUCUGGACAUUUCCUGACGCUGAGGCACGAAAGCCAGGGGAGCAAACGGG
rnacentral:rRNA from 1 species